UUUUCCCAGUAAUUUUUUUUAAGCAAAAUUAUAACAAAGUUAGCCCUUUCUGUCAAUAAAACAUAACGUCUUUGGUUGGAACCAGUGCUUAAACAAUUGAAAACACAAACUUUGUCAUGAAACCUGUGAUGUUUAGCAGUUUUUUUGCAAGAAGAUAAUCAUAUUAGCCUUUUCUGGAGCUAUACGGCAUCGCUCUUGGCUGAUGGCAUGCCCAGCACAAGAGAAAACUCUUUCAGAAGGCGUUGAUGAGGCUGGGACACACAAGUAUUUUUCUGAUAGGGCAGAUAAAUUGGGGAGUGUAUCCCUCUUACUCCACCACCAGGCCACAGGGUCUUGUCCAGAGGUAAUUCCUGGCAGUCUUUUGUAUAUUUGAAGCUCCUUCUGUACCUGCUCUGUGAUUGAGGGGACUCUACCCGCUUGAGAAGCAGCCUGUUGAAGCUCUCUGUCUUCAUCCUCAAACAGCUUUUCUAAGGGUGACUUCUGGACCUUACUUAGCUGAAAAACAACAAAAAAAGAUGUGUGAGGUUUGCAAAAUAAAUAAAGAUCACUUUUAGAAUGUAGUGGUUGUGUUAGAAAAAAUCUGAAAUUACAUAUUUUUCUGGCUUGUCCAUGUCAGCAUCAUCCACCUCGCUGUGUGCUUUGGGGUCCUCAGUGGGAGGCUAUGGACACACAGAUAGUAAAAGAGCAUUCCUUCAACAUAGAAACUACAUCAUGAUGCAAAAGGACAAGAUUGUACACACACAAUGAAAAUACCUGCGCAACUGCUGCUGUGGCAUUUGCAACUGCUGCCUUCUCCAACCUGUCCCAGAUGUCAGUAGCUGCCUCACCACCUAGCCUGCCUUUAAAACGUGGGUCCAUCAUCGUGGCCUCCUUCAGAAAUUUCUGAAGGUUUUCAUCCUUUAAGUAAAACAAGAUAUAACAUAGGAGCUGAUACUGAAAAAAGGUAACCCUAUUUUUCAUGCGCAUUGACAUUGUCUGCAAAUACCUGAUAUCUUUUCUGCAGACUACCCCAGACUUUCUCUUUUAUUGAAGAGGUGAAAACACUGUCUUCAUCACAUCGUCUGAAAUGUGCCUCCAGCUUGGCCAGGAUGGGGAUGAUUUGGCUGCAUGCUUCCUCAGCCGUUGAUCCAGAGCAGCUGCCUGGAUUGCAUCAAACUGCUCCAUAAAUCUCUCCACCAUUAGGAAGAGAGAAUUCCAGCGCGUCUUAACGUCAAGAAUUACAUUAUGCUCUGGCAAAUCUAAAGCACAGAUAGACACAAACAUAUUUUAAAUUACUAUAAAAAAGGUAAUAUGAAUAACAAUACUUCUUGAUAUGUAACUGCAUGCGCUACUUACUCAGGAUUCGCUGCUUUUCUCUGAGCACAGUUUUGCUCAAGGAUGAACGUUUGAGCCACACCACAACUGAACGGAUUUUGGCACACCAGCUGGAAACUGCAGGAAUGUCAUACACCUUUUGUGCGGCCAGGUUGAGGGUAUGAGCAAAGCAUCCCACUUUUAAAAAGUCCAAUUUUUUCAAAGCAACAUCCAUGUUGCAGGCAUUGUCUACAGUGGCAGCAAUUAUUUUCCCUCCCAAGUGAAAUUGCUCCAUAACGCUUGAUAUUUCUUUAGCGACAACUGGACCUGUUUGUGACUCAUAAACUGCUUCAGUGCUGAGCACAUUCUGCUUCAUUUUGCCUUUGUAGAUGUAGUGAACAGUCACUGUGAGGAAAUGGUCCUGAGCAAUACUGGUCCAUCCAUCACAGGUGAUAGCGACCUUGUUAACCUGUGCCAAAUUCUGGAUGAGGUUGCUUUUCUCCACGCAAUACCAAGCAGGUAUAAGUGUGUUGGAUAGAUCAUUCCUGGAUGGGGGCUGAUACCUCGGAUUAAGGGCAGAGGACAUCUCCCUGAAUUGAAA